CCUACGGGUGGCAGCAGUGAGGAAUAUUCCACAAUGGGGGAAACCCUGAUGGAGCGAUACCGCGUGCAGGAAGACGCUUUUCGGAGUGUAAACUGCUUUUAACAGGGAAGAUUAUGACGGUACCUGUAGAAUAAGGACCGGCUAACUACGUGCCAGCAGCCGCGGUAAUACGUAGGGUCCAAGCGUUAUUCGGAAUUACUGGGCGUAAAGCGUACGUAGGCGGUUUGAUAAGUUGGAUGUGAAAUCCUGUGGCUCAACCAUAUGGACCGUGUCCAAAACUAUCAGACUAGAGCAUAGUAGAGGCAAGUGGAAUUUGCAGUGUAGGAGUGACAUCCGUAGAUAUUGCAAGGAACACCAAUGGCGAAGGCAGCUUGCUGGGCUAUUGCUGACGCUCAGGUACGAAAGCGUGGGGAGCGAACGGGAUUAGAUACCCCAGUAGUC
rnacentral:rRNA from 1 species